AGCACCGUGGCCUAGCGGAUAGAGCGCAGGCCUGGGAGUCUGAAGGACCUGGGUUCUAGUCCCAGCUCUGCUA
rnacentral:tRNA from 1 species